GAAGAAGGUAAUAUCCUGACCCAGAAUCUAGAAGGAAGACUACAGAAGCGCUUUCACAGCUGGAAAUGCAAGUCCCUUUGUUCAUUUGCAGAGCAAAGUCUUAGUAUUGGCAUCGAGAACCGUAGUGGCUGUCCCUGGUCCUCCUCUACAGACAGAGCCAUCCUCAGUUCUACUCUGACUCAUUUCACUGGGAUUUCUUUUGAAAUAAACCAUUAACUUAAGGAGUGUUUGAAAGAUCGGACCCAUGAGAACUUGCUGUUUGUCACAGAGGUUCAUGCAAAAUAACAAGUGCAACCAGCCGUAGCAGUAAUGGAAUACUGCCAAAACCGUGCUAUCAGAAUGCAGCCCAGCCCAGAAGAGAACUGAAACAGCUCCUUGAUUCCUGUUGGAAACCCUGGAAGUCAGAAUCAAGCACUCACUGUGAGGGAACUUCUCUUGUGGAAUUUGCUGACUCUUUCUGGACACCACUGAGCAAUCCUAGGGCAUGGUGAUCUCUACUGUGCGGGGGCUGAGGAGGAGAUGGCCUUCUGAAAAAGGAAAUGUGGCAAACAGGAAAAGAAGGCAUUUAAGGAAGAACCACAGCUGAAUUGUUGGCUUGGCCUUACUGCAUUCUAGAUAAAGGAAUGGAAGAUGAAUGGAUUCACACCCAAAUUCCACUGCAGUCAUCAGCAGAAACUUUAGAACUCGGUGCAGGGGCCACGUGUCCACCUCCAUGAGCAGCUGUUAAGGCACAAGGAUCCCUGAGCCUGUGUCCUGACGUGUUCUUAGUUGGUUGAUCCAGUUCUGUAACGGGAGUGGUCAGGUGUUAUGAAUGCAGCCAUGGUGACAGAGAUGUCUGUUACCAGCUGGAAAGCUCUUGUGUAAUUCUUGUGACAGGCAUUCAUGCUCCUGCAAAUCUGUCCUUUUUAGUUCUCUAGUCACUAUUUUCAGGCCUCCUCAGUCAGCAGCCAGAUUGUUGCACGG
rnacentral:lncRNA from 14 species